rnacentral:lncRNA from 1 species
UUAAAUCAAAAUCAUAUUCAACAAUAGAGAAAAUCAAACAAAUCAUGAAAUGCUCAUAUUUUCGUAUCAUGCUUUGUGAAGUCGUUCUGACUUCCAUCUUUGAGGGUAGAUACAGAUUUCGACUACCCAUGUGGAAUGACCAUAUCAGAUAUAUUUUCAGCUUGUCAAACCAUGGUAUGAUAUAUGACCACGAUCGUACCAACCAUAGUGGUCUUAUAAGAUAUUCUAUUGUCAUGGCAGUGCUUAGCCAAAAGUGACUCCUAAUAGAUAUUCACGUCACCGCUCUCAUCAAAGGGUAUGCCAUCAUCCACAGGGAGCGAUCUUCUCACGUCUUUCUAGACCAAAUAGGGGAGGAAGAAACAGAAAUCCCUCAGAGAUAAAAAACCUAACGAGAUACUUAAUGCAUUAUGCAUGUCAAUACUAAUACAUAUAUUUUUCGGACCAUUCAGGCUCAUUCCCCUUCUUUUUUCUCUUU